UUACGGAGACAACUGCAAGACGUAGACUCCUAAGAUUCUUCAUUGGUAUUGAAAAACAAAGCCACUAUCCUCCAGUUGACCUCCGCAAACAUAGAUUUUGAGAGAGAGAAACUUGUUGGUCUAUGUUCUAGCAUAUUCACUUUCGCUUUAUUUUCCAACAUCCUCUUGCCUAUGAACCUCAUCCAAAAAUUCUCAAAAAAAAUUCUAUGAAUUUUAAUUUAAGACUACAUUUACAUUUAUUAUUACAUUUUACUAGCAAUUGUCAGCGACUUUGUCCGUACGGAAUUUAAAAAAAACUAUUAAAAAAUAGGAUAGUUCCCACUAGUGAAAGAAUUUUUAAAUCGGUUCAGUAAUUUCGAAGCCUAUUCAAUCCAAGCAAAUAAUCAAAUUUUUCCACUUUAUAAUAUUAGUAAAGAUGAUACUAUAAUAUUUUUAUCGUGUUCCGUAUUAUCUAUUAGAUAAUAUUCAAAGUUAUUUUAGGUAUAUGAUGCGACGCAAGAUUCAAAAUCAGUGUAAAAAGUAAUCUUUAAGUCUGAAAUUUGAGACGUGUCCGUUCUAACACAUUGUAUUGCUUUCGGUGGCCGAGAAGUCUGUUUCGAUAAAAAAAAACAACACAGCCAGUUAGGCUGUUACUGUAAGUCGAACUAGUGUAGUUCUUGCAUUCAACUGAUAGUGUGGUAAAAGUGUUCGUGAAAAACUUUUAAAAUUACAAGACGAUUUUAAUAUAGUCAUAAUGACGUAUGCGUUUAUAAUAGUGGUGUCAGUGGCCGUAACUUUAAAGCUGUUGUUUCUAAGUUUCUCAUUGUACGUAACACUUAAUAACCGAGAACCUCAAGCAGAGAAAGAUUCGAAGAUCAAAAACGACAACACAACAUGCAUGGUGUCCAAGUGGAAACAAGUUUCGCAAGUUUUUUUUUGUAAAACGUCACAUAA